rnacentral:rRNA from 1 species
GAUGAACGCUGGCGGCGUGCCUAAUACAUGCAAGUCGAGCGAACGGACGAGAAGCUUGCUUCUCUGAUGUUAGCGGCGGACGGGUGAGUAACACGUGGAUAACCUACCUAUAAGACUGGGAUAACUUCGGGAAACCGGGGCUAAUACCGGAUAAUAUUUUGAACCGCAUGGUUCAAAAGUGAAAGACGGUCUUGCUGUCACUUAUAGAUGGAUCCGCGCUGCAUUAGCUAGUUGGUAAGGUAACGGCUUACCAAGGCAACGAUGCAUAGCCGACCUGAGAGGGUGAUCGGCCACACUGGAACUGAGACACGGUCCAGACUCCUAAGGGAGGCAGCAGUAGGGAAUCUGCCGCAAUGGGCGAAAGCCUGACGGAGCAACGCCGCGUGAGUGAUGAAGGUCUUCGGAUCGUAAAACUCUGUUAUUAGGGAAGAACAUAUGUGUAAGUAACUGUGCACAUCUUGACGGUACCUAAUCAGAAAGCCACGGCUAACUACGUG